AACAUUUACAGUGAUGGUUUCAAAAGACUACCUUCAGUCUGUUCAAUACAAAAUCUGCUUUGCCUGUGCACUUCCAACAUGAGAAAAUAAAACGAAGAAAGGAAUCUGAAUCAAACGACAAGUUAACCAAACGCAUAAGAUUUAAACACAAAAAUAGAGAAAAAUGAUAUAACAUCGCCUGAUUUUAGUGCAGCAAUCCUCGCUUUAAAAAAGUAGAAGCUGGGGGAAAAAAAGUAGAACUGGUUUUUCUGAACCUGGCAUUAGCAUUCAAACAAAAUUUUGUCAGAAAAUGUUGUAUGAUGAAGAAUAACAUUUAUUGCUAUUGUCUUUCAUAUGUUUGUUUUUUUUUGUAGUCAGACCGUCUUAAUCUUCAUCUCACCAUUCUUCAUAAUCUUCCGGUUGGUACGGGAUGUCUGGUACUUAGAUAGAAGGUAGAGUGCCAGCCAUCUCGGACCAGCCGGUAGAGAGUUCUGCCGACAGCUGCCACCUCGUACCACCAUCUCUUACUGGUACGAGAUGGUUGAAAAAGUUGGUACGAGAUGUCUAGAUACCAUUUUUUUUUUAAUUCUUUAUUCCGUAACAGUUUUAGGAAGUUACAAAUCGGGAUAUUAGAUGGCGUUGACAUGCUGCUAACAUGUCCGAUAAUCUCUGACAAGUUAAAUCACUGCUUGUAAUCUUUGAAUUUUGGGGAGGAUACGCUGACAGCUUGAAGGAUUAUUUAUCUGAAGUUUAGGGGUUUCCCUUGCUGUCAGCUGUAUGAGCUUCUGAUCCAGGAUAUAGUGAGAUACUCUACUAGUCUCUCAAUUUCAUCAUGUUUUCCUCAUUGAAGAGAUUUUCUAAGGUUACUAACACUGGAAAAUCAACGUUGACCUUUUAGACUUGGACACCACCAUUGCAAUCAAGCAAUGUUUGUUUGCUCACACUAUAGUGGUCAAUGGACUGAAAAUGUCAGGCUUCUGCUGAUGGAAGUCUUACCCAGCAUUAGCCCACAAGAAACUUGAAGGGAAAUACCAAAAUGGACUUGUAUUGAUUCUUUGUAACCCUUGAUUAUCCCACUUUUGGUGUCUGCAGAUAAUCUACUUCUCGGAUAAAGUGGUUUGAGACCGGAUUUAAUUGAGUCUGUUUUGCAUAGGGCUUCUUUUCACGCUGAUGCAAUAACAUUGCAAGAUGAAUGUUUAAACCCAAGGAGAUCUGGUGAGCAGGAUGCAACAGACUAUGUCAUGUCAAAACAUUAGCUGAAUACAAUGAAUACCUUUGGUCCCCGAGAACGAGAUGUUAAUAAUCAUACUGAAUCAAAAGAGGCGUCAAGUUAAACGAGAUUUUAAAAUGAUAACAGUUGGAAGCGCAUGUGGUUAUUUCGAAGAAUGCUAGCUAAACGUUACCUUUAGUUGCUGAUUCAUCUCGAAGAUAAAAUAAGUUAUUUUUAUAAA